GCAGGGGUAGCUCAAUGGUAGAGCUCAUGCUUACCACACAUGAGGCCCUGGGUUCAAUUCCUAGCACCUCA
rnacentral:tRNA from 1 species